AAAAAUUGACACACACAUGUAUCUCAAUAAGAUCUACAAAAAAGUCAGUGCGGGCGUAUCUGUCAAAUGUACGGUUAAUGGGUUAUUUUGCAUUUUUUGCAGAUCUGCACACAUUGGAAUUUCGCUAACUCCUCCGAAGGCUUUCGUUCGACCGGCACCACAUUUGCGCAGGCCAAUCUACCCCCCAUGGCCAUUAAAAGUUGUACAAAUCAUGACGCAAAUGACACAAGUCUUAUAACGUUCUAGGGGGCGCCAAAGAUAACCCAAAAUCCACAUUCUUAAAAGUCUUAUAACUUUUUAUUUUUGUCCUCACUGCCCUCCAAGUUUUCUAGGAUGAUGCAAUGUCCAGCCAUCAACACAUUUGUGAAGGAAUUUUUACUCCCCAAAAGAGCGCCCCCCAUGGCAGGAGAAAAAAGUCAAUUUUUUCUUGUCCCCUUACAUGAAAAUACACAUUGUUGAGUGUCACGCCUGAACGCUUUGUCAUAUUGACACAAAAAUUGACAAUCAUGUGUAUCUCAAUUAGAUCUACGAAAAAGUCAAAAAGCGCGUAUCUGUAUAAUGUACGGUUAAAGGGCUAUUUCGCAUUUUUUGCCGAUUCGCACACAUUGGAAUGUGGCUAUCUCCUCCUAAGGCUUUCGUCCCAUCGGCACCAAAUUUGCUCAAGCCGAUCUACAUCCCAUGGCCAUUCAAAGUUGUAAAAAUCAUGACGCUGCACCCCACGGUUUACGUUCUAGGGGGCACCAAAGAUGACCCAAAAAUCCACAUUCUUAAAAGUCAUUUUGGCCACUGCAGGAGUACAGAGUACUGCAGUUCUAGGGGGCGCCAAAGAUGACACAAAAAUCCACAUUCUUAAAAGUCUUUUUGGCCACUGCAGGAGUACAGAGUACUGCAGGAUACACACACAUAUACACACACACACACACACACACACACACACACACACACACACACACACACACACACACUCAGAGUCUGUUUUUUAGCACCUGCAAAAACAUGCUGUUUACAUAUUUGACAAGAAUGCAGAGGCUUCCUUUUGCCCCUGAAAAAAAUCAGAUUUCAAACACAACUUGACUGUUCAUUUCUCCAAAAGACAACCAUGAAGCUCCAUCCAAACCUGAAGCAGAUAGUUGGUGCAUGUGUACAGUAACCUGAGGGGAGUGAGGUGACUAUUUCUGAGGAGAACAUGAGCAGUGAAGAUUCACCUUGGAGCUAGAACAGGGACGUGCACAUGAUUAUACAGGGGCAGGGGCUCAAGUUUUUUCCAGUCAUUUAUACAAUAUGGAAAUUAAUGUGAAAUUAAAACACAAAUAUGUGUGAUGAACUGUUUUUAAAACUUAAACUUCAAAUAAAAAUUGUAAACUUCAAAACAUAUGCAAAUUUUUAACAAAGAACAUAGUUAUUUACCUCUAUUUACAUCAAAAUGCAGGCAAUGGCCCAGGCGUUCUUUGUAAAAUUAUUUACAAAACACUGUAUAGUCUCACAAAUGUCACUUUUUAUUUAUGCCACUACAAAAAAACAUGAUGUAAAUGAUGCAUGAUGUAAAACAUGAUGUAAAAAACUUGUGUAGAUCCUCCUCUAUGUCAGUCCAUGUGUAAUUUUUCCAUAAUUCUUUGUUUUUUGCAGCAUUUUUGUUAGUGUAACUGCAGAUUGUGCUGACAGUCUAUGGCAAAAAAAAACCAAAAACUGAAAAUGCCUCAACAUGAACCCCUGGUGGUCUCUGAGGGUGAAACCUGCUAACUGCUGCAGCUCUGUCAGCUUCAGUCUCCCAUGCAGAGCUCGGAGCGCAUGUGUGGCUCUGCACCCUUAGCAGCGUUGCUAACUCCUCAGUAAGGAAAGCCUGCUUCAUGUCAGAGUCUCUAAACUCCAGAAGAAGUCGAUAAAAGUCACUUUCUUUCUAAAAAAAAAGUCGUUAGGGGGUCUGAAAAGUCAUUGAAUCUAACAACAAAGUCGCUAGGUUUGCAACUACGUGUCCCAGACUGCAUCCCUGCUGAGAGUCCCUUCCUCCCUUCUCAUAUUGCAGGAAGAACGUAAGCGCCCGCCCCUUGUCAAUCAGUCACCAUAUAAUUUUGGAUUGGUUGUUGUGGUGAAGUUUUCCACCAAUAGGAGAGAUGUUGUGGUGUGUUUUUUUUUUCCUUUGGCAAGCCUUUUCCGCCUGUAAGACCUGUCGCUAAUGUCUGCAUGCUAUGUUUUCCUGUCGCAUACAGCGCGAUCGAGCGCCGAACGUGAUCAAAAUAAGCAGAAAACAAGUAUCGCGGGCAUAAUUUAUCAUAACUCUGGUUUUAUUUGGCCUAUCAACACAAUUUAAAAACUGGUAUAUAGGUUGAGGUCCUCACUUUUGAGAUAAGUUGAAACAGAGUCAACAAGGCUCCGUCUUGCAGCUACAUCCGGUUAAAUAUGUCAUGUGACUUGAACGCACACACACACACACACACACACACACAGACACACACACACACACACGCACACACACACACUCAGAGUCUGGUUUUUAGCACCUGCAAAAACAUGCUAUUUACAUAUUUGACAAGAAUGCAGAGGCUCCUUUUGCCCCUGAAAAAAAUCAAAUUUCAAACACAACUUGACUGGUCAUUUCUCCAAAAGACAACCAUGAAGCUCCAUCCAAACCUGAAGCAGGCAGUUGGUGCAUGUGUACAGUAACCUGAGGGGAGUGAGGUGACUGCUUCUGAGGAGAACAUGAGCAGUGAAGAUUCACCUUGGAGCUAGAACAGAGACAUGCACAUGAUUAUACAGGGGCAGGGGCUCAAGUUUUUUCCAGUCAUUUAUACAAUAUUGAAAUUAAUGUGAAAUUAAAAAACAAGUAUUAAUAGAAAGGUUAUGACUGUCCUGUGUAGAUGACAGUGAUAUCCAAUAGGCUAGGCACUCACGAGGCUGGCUGUGGCAAGUGUAAGUGAAAGCAACACGCACUGGCAGGAAGAACAGCAAACGCCGAUGAAGGAAAAGGGUCUUUGCAGUGAUGGGCGUUACCAGAGAGGGCGAUGGCCAGAGGACACAAAUGGGACGGGGAGGCAGCGCGUUGGGGGGGG